AAUUAGAGGUUGAGGAGUUGAUCGCCGAUCAUAGAUAAGGAGGGGCUGGUUAGUGGCUUGGAAAAGAAUUCAGACAACAUUAAUUUUUUCUAAAAAAUAAAACCAACCUUCCGACGGUUGGUUAACACUCCUCGACAGUUGAGAUAGGGUUUUCAUCAUUAUUCAUUUGGUGGCUAAAUAUUACUCAUGGGACGUUUCUAGAGAAUGCAAGACCAUGUUUGAGUGAGAAAUUGGUCUCGAUGAAAUUGAGAGUUCAAUGAACAGCACAUACAAUGCAAGUAAAUCUACCUACUCAAACCCAUCUUCUAUUUCUAAAGCAGAAGGGCUUUCGGUGGCUGAAACAAGUGAGUGAUUAAGUUUUU